AUAUCAAUAAGCGGAGGAAAAGAAACCAACAGGGAUUGCCUCAGUAACGGCGAGUGAAGCGGCAACAGCUCAAAUUUGAAAUCUGGUCGUUUUUGGCGGCCCGAGUUGUAAUUUGAAGAGGAUGCUUCGGGUGCGACACCGCUCUAAGUUCCUUGGAACAGGACGUCAUAGAGGGUGAGAAUCCCGUCUGUGAGCGGCCGUCAACCCCAUGUGUAGCUCCUUCGACGAGUCGAGUUGUUUGGGAAUGCAGCUCAAAAUGGGUGGUAAAUUUCAUCUAAAGCUAAAUACCGGCCAGAGACCGAUAGCGCACAAGUAGAGUGAUCGAAAGAUGAAAAGCACUUUGGAAAGAGAGUCAAAAAGUAC
rnacentral:rRNA from 1 species